AGGGCAGGGAAUGGUUGUUGCCGUACGAGGCAUUGGUCAUCACAUCUUAAAGAGUUCAGCUCUUUGUUUGAGUUGGCACUUUUCAAGUAUAGUUUUCCAAGUCGGAACCAACUAUUCCGAGGGAUAUGGCCGCGGUUACGAUGGGUUUGUGGCUUCUGAACAGCGCAGGCUCAUUCAUAGAGGUUAUUGUUUUUGGCACAGGAGAACAAGUGCUUGCAGCAGCAGGAUAAGUUCAUCUCAGCGAUGCAUAAAGGAUUUCAAAGAGAGGUUUGCAAGGAUAGUCCCAGUGUCUCAAAACCUCUGUCUCCUAUAAAUAAACCAUUGAAUGGGAUGGAUCCAAUUUCCUAGAAAUCUCAAGGUCUUGACUGGUAGCUUAGUUUGUGUCGAGAAAAUGGGUGCAGGUUGUAAAUUUUCCACCAGGAAUCACAAAGUUGCUUGAGGAAAGUUCUGAUCGACUUGGAGAAAUUCUGGAGGGAAAACCUGGUUAGAUAAACAACAAACCGUUGGUAACACACAUAAGAUAAUUCAGUAUUAGAUGAUAGUUAGUCGAAUCACUUAAAAAUUAGAUGAUGUAUGUUGUCUAGGAUCAUGCUGUGAAUGAAAAAACUCAAGAAGGAUGAUGCUGGUAAAUGUACAAAUGUGUGGCUUCAGUUGCGGUUGAGAAUCUGGGCUCUUGGACCUAGGCACGUUGGUCCUAAAUUUUCUUGUUACCAGAAGCCAAAGAAGAGAAUCAAUAUAUCAAGUGAUCUGAUGUUUCUACUCAACUAGCAGAUCACGACGGCAUCUUCACUGGACUGGACAGGACAGGACAGGACAGAUAAUGACAGAAGUGAAGGGAGCAUUUAGCACAGCUGUGCUUCAUAAGAAAACUCAGACCUGUGGAAGCCAUGUACUUAUUGUGAAUUGAGCACCCCAACUGCACAUUUUGGCCUCUGUGUAUUCUGUUUUAUCUAAGAGGCUUGCCCGAGUUUGGAAGGAUGAGGUGCAACAAGGGUCUUCCAGUUAAAUGCAUGUGCCUGCGGUAACUGCAGCUAUGGAGAUAACCCCAUAUUCUUGACCUUUUUACAUUUAGGACAAAAAUCUUUCAAGCAACGGAUGUAUAUGUCUAGACUCCCUUAAAGAAAAGUGGCGUCCUGCUUCUACCAUCUUUAAGGUGCUUCUUUGGUUCUGCUCCCUGUUGACAGACCCAAACACUGAUGAUCCACUUGUGCCUGAGAUUGUAGACAUGUAUAAUAAAACAGAUGGGAGAAAGUACGAGACAACUGCUUGUCAAAAGUACGGAAUGCAUUUAAAGUUGGCUGUGUUUGUGGCUCCAAUACUGGCCGUCAUGUGCUUGCUAACAUUACUCUUCCCUUACUAAUCCCCAGCCAGCAGUAACUACAUGUAACUAAGCACUGCCAGAUCAUAAAUUGUACAGUUAUGUAUAUGUACUCAGUAUUGCAAAAGAACUUGGAUCUUGAGGAAGAAAACUUGAAGGGAGUUGCAAUUGUAAUGGAUCCACUAGUGAUUUUCAACUCAAAAAAUUGCAUAGUUCUUAAAAUUCA